rnacentral:misc_RNA from 1 species
UCUAUAGUUAGAAAAUAGAAUUUUGAACGAAGAGAACUCGUUAGUUACUAAAAAAAAAUAUAUUUUAAAUCAAGAUGUUUGGAUCUACACUUGCAGCACAACCAAAUUUAUUGCCUACUCCAUUAAUUUAUGCCCCACCCGUGUUCCCUCAGGGAUUACAGGAAAUGAGGGUGAAAGAUAUGUAUCACGAUUCUUGCGCGCCCUAUGUCUUUCCUCCAAAUAAUCGUUUUCGAAGAAGAGCACUGAAGAAAACGAAAAAAAUCAACAACGUUAACAAAGUGGGAAGUGACUCAAAUUCUUUAAACAUUCAGAAUGAUACCGGAACUAUAAAUGAGUCAUGCAAUAGUUUGUUAACCAAUAAUCAAAAGUUAGACGAAUUGAAAGUUCCUUCAGAAAUGACAAAACCUCUUUAUUGUGAAUUGUGUUGUGCGAAACUGAAUGGAAGUUUACAGGCUAGUGCACAUUACGAGGGAAAAAAUCAUGCAAAGAAAGUUCGACAAUAUUUGGAUCAUUUGAGGCAGACAAAAGGCAUUCAAGAUGCCAUUCCAAUCCCAAGUGACAAAUCAAAAGUGAAAGACAAAAAGAAUUCGAAACCGUUAGAAGUUUAUUGUAAAUUGUGUGAUGUUGCAUUUACUUCUGAUAUUCAAGCAAAACAGCAUUAUAAUGGAAGAAAUCAUCAGCGGAGGCUUCGUGGCGAACCGCCGUUGCCGAAAGGAUUCUUUAAUCCUCUUACAGGAAAGUGGCAAAGGCAAUUUUUAUUUAUUAUAGAAAGAACUUUCUUUAUUGCAUGUUUCUAAACAUCACCUGAUACAUGUAGCUUGGAACUGUUCAUAAAACAGGAAAAGUAGACCUCCAGUAGGUGUGCCGUAUUACAUUCCUACUCAACAGAAGAAGCCACAAAAGUAUUCAUGUGAUUUAUGCAAUGUUAGUAUGACAUCUCAAGAACAAUACAACUCUCAUUUGUAUGGAGCUAAGCACA